rnacentral:rRNA from 1 species
UGAGGGAAAGUUGCAAAGAACUUUGAAGAGAGAGUUCAAGAGUACGUGAAACUGCUCAGAGGCAAACGGGUGGGCCCUCGAAAUCCUCUUGCGGGGGGAUUCAGUCAGGAGGGGCGGAGGUGUUCGGCGGUCGAUUCGAACGGACCUCCUCCAAGGCCGGGCCGUCGUCACGGUCUCCGUCUCGCCUGACGCACUUCCUCCCGCACCACGGACGCCGCAACCGGUUGGGUAGCUGCGCGAGUCGGCCAUGAGGGCGGGCAACGGCAGGUGGCCGGGGGCGUCGCUUCGGCGGCUCCUCCGGUUGUUAGCCAGCCCGUCCGUGGCGCGACACCCGACCGAGGUUGACGUGUUCCCGUCCCGGGAACCGGCCGUCCCCUUCCUAGCGGGCUUUCCGGCAGGCGUAUCGCGGCGUCGCCUCGUCACCCCUCGUGGUGGCCGGCGCACCGAGUUCGCUGUUGGUUGGUUCUAGUCCCGCGGGGGUCGUCCCGAGGUUAGCGGCGAGUAGGUCGGUCACCCACCCGACCCGUCUUGAAACACGGACCAAGGAGUCUAACAUGUGCGCGAGUCACGGGGUCUUGAUUAGGCCCAGAGGCGCAAUGAAAGUGAAGGCCGCUUGCGGCCGUGUUGGGACUCACCGCCCCCCUCGGGGUGCGGGGAAGCACCAACGACCCGUCCUGUCCGAUUUAUCGGUUGGGCGGAGUCCGAGCGUACACGUUGGGACCCGAAAGAUGGUGAACUAUGCCUGGGCAGGACGAAGCCAGAGGAAACUCUGGUGGAGGUCCGUAGCGGUUCUGACGUGCAAAUCGAUCGUCAGACCCGGG